UACGUAGGGUGCAAGCGUUAAUCGGAAUUACUGGGCGUAAAGCGUGCGCAGGCGGUUUUGUAAGUCUGUCGUGAAAGCCCCGGGCUCAACCUGGGAAUUGCGAUGGAGACUGCAAGGCUUGAAUCUGGCAGAGGGGGGUAGAAUUCCACGUGUAGCAGUGAAAUGCGUAGAGAUGUGGAGGAACACCGAUGGCGAAGGCAGCCCCCUGGGUCAAGAUUGACG
rnacentral:rRNA from 1 species